rnacentral:rRNA from 1 species
GAUGAACGCUGGCGGCGUGCCUAAUACAUGCAAGUCGUGCGGCAGCGAGCCCUUCGGGGUGUCGGCGAGCGGCGGACGGCUGAGUAACACGUAGGAACGUACCCCAAAGUGAGGGAUAACUGCUCGAAAGAGUAGCUAAUACCGCAUGUGAUCUAAGGAUUAAAGCUUCGGCGCUUCGGGAACGGCCUGCGUUCGAUUAGCUAGUUGGUGAGGUAAUUGCUCACCAAGGCGAUGAUCGAUAGCUGGUCUGAGAGGAUGAUCAGCCAGACUGGGACUGAGACACGGCCCAGACUCCUACGGGAGGCAGCAGUAGGGAAUUUUCCACAAUGGGCGAAAGCCUGAUGGAGCAACGCCGCGUGCAGGAUGAAUGCCUUAGGGUUGUAAACUGCUUUUAUAUGUGACGAUUAUGACGGUAGCAUAUGAAUAAGGAUCGGCUAACUCCGUGCCAGCAGCCGCCGUAACAC